AUGACCGUGCCAGAAUGCUUACCCAUCAAUCACUUGAAUUUGGGUUUUUUAACUAAUUUGGUGCCGGCGGUAAUAGUAAAGACUUCUCAGUUAGGGCCAACCAUUUGGAACGAAUGCUAAUACCUGAUAUUAUGAUUUUAAGGCAUCUUAGAAUUAUGAAAGCUAUACGCGCUGUGAGAGAGCUUUGCGUCCCAUUAGCUAGUUGGAGAGGUAACGGCUCACCAAGGCGAUGAUGGGUAGCCAGCCUGAGAGGGUGAACGGCCACAAGGGGACUGAGACACGGCCCUUACUCCUACGGGAGGCAGCAGUGGGGAAUAUUGGACAAUGGACCAAGAGUCUGAUCCAGCAAUUCUGUGUGCACGAUGACGUUUUUCGGAAUGUAAAGUGCUUUCAGUUGGGAAGAAAAAAAUGACGGUACCAACAGAAGAAGUGACGGCUAA
rnacentral:rRNA from 1 species